UGCCGACCGGGUGUCCGCGCUAAGUUCGGUAUCAAUAUGGUGACCUCCUGGGAGCAGGAGGCCAACAGGUUGCCUAAGGAUGGGAGAACUGGCCCAGGUCAGAAAGGGAGCAGGUCAGGUCUCCCGCACCAAUCGGUAGUGGGACUGUGCCUGGGCA
rnacentral:sRNA from 1 species